UCCAGGAGAGUUACCGCGGACCGUUAGU
rnacentral:sRNA from 1 species